CAUAGGUUCCCGAACGAUCACCAAAGUUAAGCAACGUUAAGCCGAGACAGUACCUGGAUGGGUGACCGUUUGGAAUACUGGGUGUUGAAU